rnacentral:rRNA from 1 species
UUUGGUUAAGUUAGAAAGGGCGCACGGUGGAUGCCUUGACACUAGGAGUCGAUGAAGGACGGGACUAACGCCGAUAUGCUUCGGGGAGCUGUAAGUAAGCUUUGAUCCGAAGAUUUCCGAAUGGGGAAACCCACCAUACGUAAUGGUAUGGUAUCCUUAUCUGAAUACAUAGGGUAAGGAAGACAGACCCAGGGAACUGAAACAUCUAAGUACCUGGAGGAAGAGAAAGCAAAUGCGAUUUCCUGAGUAGCGGCGAGCGAAACGGAACAUAGCCCAAACCAAGAGGCUUGCCUCUUGGGGUUGUAGGACAUUCUAUACGGAGUUACAAAGGAACGAGGUAGAYGAAGCGACCUGGAAAGGUCCGUCGUAGAGGGUAACAACCCCGUAGUCGAAACUUCGUUCUCUCUUGAAUGYAUCCUGAGUACGGCGGAACACGUGAAAUUCCGUCGGAAUCUGGGAGGACCAUCUCCCAAGGCUAAAUACUCCCUAGUGAUCGAUAGUGAACCAGUACCGUGAGGGAAAGGUGAAAAGCACCCCGGAAGGGGAGUGAAAGAGAUCCUGAAACCGUGUGCCUACAAAUAGUCAGAGCCCGUUAACGGGUGAUGGCGUGCCUUUUGUAGAAUGAACCGGCGAGUUACGAUCCCGUGCGAGGUUAAGCUGAAGAGGCGGAGCCGCAGCGAAAGCGAGUCUGAAUAGGGCGUUUAGUACGUGGUCGUAGACCCGAAACCAGGUGAUCUACCCAUGUCCAGGGUGAAGUUCAGGUAACACUGAAUGGAGGCCCGAACCCACGCACGUUGAAAAGUGCGGGGAUGAGGUGUGGGUAGCGGAGAAAUUCCAAUCGAACCUGGAGAUAGCUGGUUCUCCCCGAAAUAGCUUUAGGGCUAGCCUUAAGUGUAAGAGUCUUGGAGGUAGAGCACUGAUUGGACUAGGGGUCCUCAUCGGAUUACCGAAUUCAGUCAAACUCCGAAUGCCAAUGACUUAUCCUUAGGAGUCAGACUGCGAGUGAUAAGAUCCGUAGUCAAAAGGGAAACAGCCCAGACCGCCAGCUAAGGUCCCAAAGUGUGUAUUAAGUGGAAAAGGAUGUGGAGUUGCUUAGACAACUAGGAUGUUGGCUUAGAAGCAGCCACCAUUUAAAGAGUGCGUAAUAGCUCACUAGUCGAGUGACUCUGCGCCGAAAAUGUACCGGGGCUAAAUACACCACCGAAGCUGCGGAUUGAUACCAAUGGUAUCAGUGGUAGGGGAGCGUUCUAAGGACAGUGAAGUCAGACCGGAAGGACUGGUGGAGUGCUUAGAAGUGAGAAUGCCGGUAUGAGUAGCGAAAGACGGGUGAGAAUCCCGUCCACCGAAUGCCUAAGGUUUCCUGAGGAAGGCUCGUCCGCUCAGGGUUAGUCAGGACCUAAGCCGAGGCCGACAGGCGUAGGCGAUGGACAACAGGUUGAUAUUCCUGUACCACCUCUUUAUCGUUUGAGCAAUGGAGGGACGCAGAAGGAUAGAAGAAGCGUGCGAUUGGUUGUGCACGUCCAAGCAGUUAGGCUGAUAAGUAGGCAAAUCCGCUUAUCGUGAAGGCUGAGCUGUGAUGGGGAAGCUCCUUAUGGAGCGAAGUCUUUGAUUCCCCGCUGCCAAGAAAAGCUUCUAGCGAGAUAAAAGGUGCCUGUACCGCAAACCGACACAGGUAGGCGAGGAGAGAAUCCUAAGGUGUGCGAGAGAACUCUGGUUAAGGAACUCGGCAAAAUGACCCCGUAACUUCGGGAGAAGGGGUGCUUUCUUAACGGAAAGCCGCAGUGAAUAGGCCCAAGCGACUGUUUAGCAAAAACACAGCUCUCUGCGAAGCCGUAAGGCGAAGUAUAGGGGGUGACACCUGCCCGGUGCUGGAAGGUUAAGGAGAGGGGUUAGCGUAAGCGAAGCUCUGAACUGAAGCCCCAGUAAACGGCGGCCGUAACUAUAACGGUCCUAAGGUAGCGAAAUUCCUUGUCGGGUAAGUUCCGACCCGCACGAAAGGUGUAACGAUUUGGGCACUGUCUCAACCAGAGACUCGGUGAAAUUAUAGUACCUGUGAAGAUGCAGGUUACCCGCGACAGGACGGAAAGACCCCGUGGAGCUUUACUGUAGCCUGAUAUUGAAUUUUGGUACAGUUUGUACAGGAUAGGCGGGAGCCAUUGAAACCGGAGCGCUAGCUUCGGUGGAGGCGCUGGUGGGAUACCGCCCUGACUGUAUUGAAAUUCUAACCUACGGGUCUUAUCGACCCGGGAGACAGUGUCAGGUGGGCAGUUUGACUGGGGCGGUCGCCUCCUAAAGUGUAACGGAGGCGCCCAAAGGUUCCCUCAGAAUGGUUGGAAAUCAUUCGUAGAGUGCAAAGGCAUAAGGGAGCUUGACUGCGAGACCUACAAGUCGAGCAGGGACGAAAGUCGGGCUUAGUGAUCCGGUGGUUCCGCAUGGAAGGGCCAUCGCUCAACGGAUAAAAGCUACCCCGGGGAUAACAGGCUUAUCUCCCCCAAGAGUCCACAUCGACGGGGAGGUUUGGCACCUCGAUGUCGGCUCAUCGCAUCCUGGGGCUGUAGUCGGUCCCAAGGGUUGGGCUGUUCGCCCAUUAAAGCGGUACGCGAGCUGGGUUCAGAACGUCGUGAGACAGUUCGGUCCCUAUCCGUCGUGGGCGUAGGAAAUUUGAGAGGAGCUGUCCUUAGUACGAGAGGACCGGGAUGGACGCACCGCUGGUGUACCAGUUGUUCUGCCAAGGGCAUAGCUGGGUAGCUAUGUGCGGAAGGGAUAAGUGCUGAAAGCAUCUAAGCAUGAAGCCCCCCUCAAGAUGAGAUUUCCCAUAGCGUAAGCUAGUAAGAUCCCUGAAAGAUGAUCAGGUUGAUAGGUUCGAGGUGGAAGCAUGGUGACAUGUGGAGCUGACGAAUACUAAUAGAUCGAGGACUUAACCAUAUAA